AUACGUAGGGGCAAGCGUUGUCCGGAAUUACUGGGCGUAAAGAGCUCGUAGGCGGCCCAGCAAGUCGGUCGUGAAAGCCCGAGGCUCAACCUCGGAACUGCGGUCGAUACUGCUGUGGCUAGAGUCCGGUAGAGGAGAGUGGAAUCCCCGGUGUAGCGGUGGAAUGCGCAGAUAUCGGGAGGAACACCAGUGGCGAAGGCGGCUCUCCGGGCCGGUACUGACGCUGAGGAGCGAAAGCGUGGGGAGCAAACAGGAUUAGAAACCCUAGUAGUCC
rnacentral:rRNA from 1 species